CGGGCAGUGGCGCAGGUGGCUAGCGCAUUCGUCUGGGGGGCGAAAGGUCGGUGGUUCAAGUCCACUCUGUCCGACCA
rnacentral:tRNA from 1 species